rnacentral:rRNA from 1 species
AGUCGAACGGUAACAUUUCUAGCUUGCUAGAAGAUGACGAGUGGCGGACGGGUGAGUAAUGCUUGGGAACUUGCCUUUGCGAGGGGGAUAACAGUUGGAAACGACUGCUAAUACCGCAUAAUGUCUUCGGACCAAACGGGGCUUCGGCUCCGGCGCAAAGAGAGGCCCAAGUGAGAUUAGCUAGUUGGUAAGGUAACGGCUUACCAAGGCGACGAUCUCUAGCUGUUCUGAGAGGAAGAUCAGCCACACUGGGACUGAGACACGGCCCAGACUCCUACGGGAGGCAGCAGUGGGGAAUAUUGCACAAUGGGGGAAACCCUGAUGCAGCCAUGCCGCGUGUGUGAAGAAGCCUUCGGGUUGUAAAGCACUUUCAGUUGUGAGGAAAAGUUAGUAGUUAAUACCUGCUAGCCGUGACGUUAACAACAGAAGAAGCACCGGCUAACUCCGUGCCAGCAGCCGCGGUAAUACGGAGGUGCGAGCGUUAAUCGGAAUUACUGGGCGUAAAGCGCACGCAGGCGGUUUGUUAAGCUAGAUGUGAAAGCCCCGGGCUCAACCUGGGAUGGUCAUUUAGAACUGGCAGACUAGAGUCUUGGA